AUUGAACGCUGGCGGCAUGCCUUACACAUGCAAGUCGAACGGCAGCACGGAGCUUGCUCUGGUGGCGAGUGGCGAACGGGUGAGUAAUAUAUCGGAACGUACCCUAGAGUGGGGGAUAACGUAGCGAAAGUUACGCUAAUACCGCAUACGAUCUAAGGAUGAAAGUGGGGGAUCGCAAGACCUCAUGCUCGUGGAGCGGCCGAUAUCUGAUUAGCUAGUUGGUAGGGUAAAAGCCUACCAAGGCAUCGAUCAGUAGCUGGUCUGAGAGGACGACCAGCCACACUGGAACUGAGACACGGUCCAGACUCCUACGGGAGGCAGCAGUGGGGAAUUUUGGACAAUGGGCGAAAGCCUGAUCCAGCAAUGCCGCGUGAGUGAAGAAGGCCUUCGGGUUGUAAAGCUCUUUUGUCAGGGAAGAAACGGUGAAAGCUAAUAUCUUUUGCUAAUGACGGUACCUGAAGAAUAAGCACCGGCUAACUACGUGCCAGCAGCCGCGGUAAUACGUAGGGUGCAAGCGUUAAUCGGAAUUACUGGGCGUAAAGCGUGCGCAGGCGGUUUUGUAAGUCUGAUGUGAAAUCCCCGGGCUCAACCUGGGAAUUGCAUUGGAGACUGCAAGGCUAGAAUCUGGCAGAGGGGGGUAGAAUUCCACGUGUAGCAGUGAAAUGCGUAGAUAUGUGGAGGAACACCGAUGGCGAAGGCAGCCCCCUGGGUCAAGAUUGACGCUCAUGCACGAAAGCGUGGGGAGCAAACAGGAUUAGAUACCCUGGUAGUCCACGCCCUAAACGAUGUCUACUAGUUGUCGGGUCUUAAUUGACUUGGUAACGCAGCUAACGCGUGAAGUAGACCGCCUGGGGAGUACGGUCGCAAGAUUAAAACUCAAAGGAAUUGACGGGGACCCGCACAAGCGGUGGAUGAUGUGGAUUAAUUCGAUGCAACGCGAAAAACCUUACCUACCCUUGACAUGGCUGGAAUCCUUGAGAGAUCAGGGAGUGCUCGAAAGAGAACCAGUACACAGGUGCUGCAUGGCUGUCGUCAGCUCGUGUCGUGAGAUGUUGGGUUAAGUCCCGCAACGAGCGCAACCCUUGUCAUUAGUUGCUACGAAAGGGCACUCUAAUGAGACUGCCGGUGACAAACCGGAGGAAGGUGGGGAUGACGUCAAGUCCUCAUGGCCCUUAUGGGUAGGGCUUCACACGCCAUACAAUGGUACAUACAGAGCGCCGCCAACCCGCGAGGGGGAGCUAAUCGCAGAAAGUGUAUCGUAGUCCGGAUUGUAGUCUGCAACUCGACUGCAUGAAGUUGGAAUCGCUAGUAAUCGCGGAUCAGCAUGUCGCGGUGAAUACGUCCCCGGGUCU
rnacentral:rRNA from 1 species